UCCCCAAUAGCUAGCCCAACCAGGAAGGCCAACAACCACCAUCAACUAACCCAUUAAAGCACCCACACAAACCAAAACAAACCAUUUUUCCCCCUAAGUAUUGGGAGACAGAAAAGGAACUUCGGCGCAAUAGAUAAAGUACCGCAAGGGAAAGCUGAAAGAGAAAUGAAAGAGCCCAGUUAAGGAAUAAAAAGCAGAGCUUAACCCUCGUACCUUUUGCAUCAUGACUUAGCCAGCACCCUCCAGGCAAAGAGCACUUUAGUCUGGACCCCCGAAACUAAGCGAGCUACUCCAAGACAGCCUAUCAAAGGGCCAACCCGUCUCUGUGGCAAAAGAGUGGGAAGAGCUUUGAGUAGAGGUGACAGACCUACCGAGCCUAGUGAUAGCUGGUUGCUUGACAACUGAAUAUAAGUUCAACCUUUUGAUAUCUAAAACCCAGUCAAGCUGAAGCCCGCCCCGGUCGAAAGAUAAAUCAAAGGAGCUAUUCAAGAGAGGGACAGCUCUCUUGAAGGAAGACACAACUUUAACAGAAGGCUAAAGAUCAGACAUAAUAAAGGAACGUACCCAAGUGGGCCUAAAAGCAGCCACCAAUAGUAGAAAGCGUUAAAGCUCAAGUAUAUAACUCCUACAAUUCCGACCACCUCAUCUUAAGCCCCUCCCUUCAUCAAGCCCUUCCAUGCACCCAUGGAAAAGAUAAUGCUAACAUGAGUAAUAAGAGAGCCAAGCCUCUCUCGAACACACCCGUGUAGAUCAGAACGGACCCGCACUGAUGACUAACGCUCCCAACCACAGAGGGAAAUAGGGAACACAAAGCACAACUAGAAAACCUCCCAUAAAACAGCGUUACCCCCACACCGGAGUGAUGAAUGAAAGACAAAAGGAAAAAGAAGGAACUCGGCAAACACUAGCCUCGCCUGUUUACCAAAAACACCGCCUCUUGCCCGAAGAGUAUAAGAGGUCCCGCCUGCCCUGUGACGAGAGUUUAACGGCCGCGGUAUUUUGACCGUGCGAAGGUAGCGCAAUCACUUGUCUUUUAAAUAGAGACCUGUAUGAAUGGCAUAACGAGGGCUAAGCUGUCUCCUUUCUCCGGUCAAUGAAAUUGAUCUGCCCGUGCAGAAGCGGGCAUAACCACAUAAGACGAGAAGACCCUAUGGAGCUUUAGACACCAGAGUAGACCAUGUUAAACUCCCACCCAAACGUGGGCCCAAACCAAAUGGCAUCCUGCUCCUAUGUCUUUGGUUGGGGCGACCGCGGAGGAACAAAAAUCCCCCGUGCAGAAGGGGACAAGCUCCCUGAGAUAAGAGCCACAGCUCUAAGCACCAGAACAUCUGACUAGAAAGAUCCGGCAAAGCCGAUCAACGGACCGAGUUACCCUAGGGAUAACAGCGCAAUCCCCUUUUAGAGCCCAUAUCGACAAGGGGGUUUACGACCUCGAUGUUGGAUCAGGACUUCCUAAUGGUGCAGCCGCUAUUAAGGGUUCGUUUGUUCAACGAUUAAAGUCCUACGUGAUCUGAGUUCAGACCGGAGAAAUCCAGGUCAGUUUCUAUCUAUGAACGAGCUCUUUUCUAGUACGAAAGGACCGAGAAGGGGGGGCCCAUGCUUUAAGUAAGCCCCGCCCCAACCUAAUGAUACCCAAUAAAAGAGGUAAAGGGGCCUUCCCCACCAUGCCGAGAAUAAAGGCAAA
rnacentral:rRNA from 1 species